CAAUAAAAUAAAGAUAUGAGUGACAGGUGCACUAACACCUCACAGCACCAGUAACUCCACAACCCUACCUAGUGCAGUUUUCCUCAGUGUUAGCAAUGUCUGAAGCCAAAGAAGACAUCAGCAGCUGCUCGAAGAUCUCACCUUUGGAAAAGACUCUUGAUUUUAUACUCAAAAAAUGUAUUUACAGUCCUGCUGCCAUCUCAACACAGCUGUGCUGAUUCUGCAGCUUUAUUCUGAUGAAGCAGCUGAUGAACACCUUCAUCAUCAUGUCCCUCACUGCUGCUCUUCUCAAUGGGGACAUCGUUGAUCCAGAGGAUGAGGAAGACCAUGAUGAUGGACCGCUGAACCCUUGAAGCAAGAGUGGGAGAAGAUGUGCGGGACAAUCUGGCUCUGCUGUGUCUGCUGCAAACAUUCAUGUGCUCUCCAUCAGCAUGACUGAAUAAACAGAUUAAAACUUUUUACACUU